rnacentral:tRNA from 2 species
CGAAUUAAGGCUAAAAUAGUCAUUAUUAUUUACAUUAAUAAUUUGAUUGUGAAAUUCAAUCUAAUUUGA